UAUUGCUUCUUACAAUGAUCUGAUACAAAUACAUCAAGAAUAUCUCAGUUAUUUACCACAAUUUCUCAAGUACGUACACAAUGUUCCGGUUCAGUUUUCUAUCGUUAAUCUAUCUCUUAAGUAACUACAGCCCCCAAUAUUUGUGUCUCCAAGAAAAUUACUACUGGCGACAAUACACCGGAGACGUGCCUAAAGAUGCUGUAGUUGGGGGUCAAGACAUCAACCACAAAAACAUUUACAUCGGGCAGGCUUACGUCCAAAACGAAGGUCUAAUUGUAGCCCAAAUUUUUCCGAAGAUUAGAGAGGUUUAUGCGCCUAUUAACGGAAUCAAAAAAAUACAAAACCAUAUAAAGAUACUUUGUGGACCUUACGAAAAUUUUUAUUGGGCUUCUGCCAAUUCAAGUAAACUUCAUUUACAACUGAUUGGUCAACACGCUGUAAUUGGGGGACAUGAAGAUGGGCAUGGAGUUAUAAACAUUGGGAGGAUAAGUUAUGAAGGAGAAACGAAAAUUGGAAAAAUUAAUUCCUUCAGAACAGAAACAGCUGCAUUUUUUUUUAAUAAAAAUCAAAAAGAAGCAUUUGUUAACUCUUACGAGAUACUUUUGUACAGGGAAAAUAGUUACGAUAUUGAUGCUCGUAGUAAAACGGUCGCUGCGAGCAAAUGAACAAACAACUGUACUAUUUGAACGAUUUUUAAUAAUAUAUAAGAGUUUGUCGUUAUUUUCAGCAAAGUUUUUAAAAUUUGUUCCAUGAAUUCGCUUGCAGAGAGCAUUUCUUUAAGAGGUUCUCCGAAAAUUUUCAAGGCGAGCUGGCUAGUUUAAUUUGUGAAAUCGUCAAUAAACUCGCAACUCGUUAAAUUA